UAUUCGUGCAUCAUUUCUCAUUUGAGAAGGCUACAAUCCGCAGGUCCUAGCUGACACCGUCUCAGAUAUAGGACGAUUUAUUCUCAGGGACAUGGCAGAUAUGGAGCCUCUGAUCAUUCUCCUUCUGCUAGCAGGACUAGUAGGGAAGACAUCAGCGACAAACACAACAGCAACGGGCAACAACUCUACUUCCACAACACCAGCCCCUCCACCACCAGAGGUUAAGUUGGAGUUCAAAUUGGAGCAAAACUUCACUGCAGACUUGACUAAUGCAUCAUCACCACAUUUUCAAGCAUUAGCAGGAAGUGUGGCUACAGUGCUGGACAGUGAUUACAAACACACAUAUGUAUCCAGUUUCAAUCACACAGCGGUUCUUGGUUU